UGUGUUUGUUAUUUGGCAUGAUUGAAGUGAGGAGGAGUCGUUGCAUGUUUGAUUUUUAGGGUUCAUAGUUUCGGAUUGAAUCAAAUUGAGUCAGGAUUGUUUCAUUAGGGGUUUCAUUGAUAUUUCCUUGUCAGGAUUGAAUCAAAUUGAGUCAUAGUAUGCUUGAUUUAUGGUAAAUAGUUUCGUUAAUGUAUGUAGAUCUUUUCUUCAAAAUGCUUUGAUUCUUGAAUUAUGGAUGAUAUGAGACUAUAUAGUGUAUAGUUUCCUUAAUAAAUAGUUUAUGUAUUUAUUCUGAAAUAUAAACUUCAUCAAAGCUGAAAAGAUUAGUUAAAGCUUUCAAGCUCUAGUUGCUUUAGGCAUUAACCAACACACAUAGAGUCUGGUUUUUCUUUGUUUGAGUCAUGUGGAAAGGUAAAUACUUGGUAUUUCUCGGAGGCAUGAUCAUUUUGAAUACCUGAUUUAAUAUCUCUUAGUAAUUACUUGA
rnacentral:lncRNA from 1 species